GGGAGAGUAAAGAAGCGAGAGAAAGAAGAAGAAAGGAAAAGAGGAAAAAAAGAAAGAAGAAGAAGGGGAAGUUGACCGUGGAGCUUCACCGGAGCUAGGUCUUAGUAUUUUGAGCCCUGAUUAAUGAUCAACUUACUGAGGUCUUCGAUUUGAGGUGAUUUUGCAAGUUACCCACCUAGUAAUCAGAAGUCGGGCCCCACUGUGAAGUUUUCAUCUGAGGAUUGGUGGAUCCCUAACGAAUUUAAGCAUGGUACCAAUUGCACGUGCGAGGAUUGUGAUGUGUUGCAGCUGUGAUUCUUGAGUGGUUCUUUUGAUUCUUUUUUAUGUACUCCAUUUUUGUUACUUGAUGCUUAAAUUGUUAUAUGUUUGUAUAUAUAUCAUGCCUUCGGGCCCAAAUAUAUGUAACUUUUAUAACUCAA